rnacentral:lncRNA from 1 species
UUUUUUACCAUUUUAUUCUUUUACAUUUUCAAACCACUUUAAACAAAUUUAGACUUUUUCCAACUUAGGAAAACAUAAGGGUAUUUGUUUUGGUUGUGUUUAGAUUUUGAGCUAUUCAUAACUUAGUAUUAUUGUUGUUUGUUUAUUUGCUCAUUUAUUUAUUUUGAAAAAUGCAUACCAUUAUUAGUUUAUUUGCCUAAAUAUCCCGGUAUUUCAUUUGUAUACAUUAAUAAAAUGAAUGCAAAUUUUGCAAGUUCUAAGAAUUAAGAAUUUGAGUGACUGCAUAUUUUGGCAUGAUGCAUUGAAACUGUUUUUGCUCUACUAUAGAAUGGGUUGCACAAGAAUCAUUUAACAUUAAAUGAUGUUUAAUUUUAGUAUCCAAUUAAUUUGUUGAUUUGUUUAUGAUGUAAUAAACAACUAAAAUUAAAAUAUCAUUUAACGUUUAUUCACAGUUUUGUACCCCAUUCCAAAUCACUUGCUUUUUUAUAACUUACAAAUGACAAAUUGUGCAUUCAUCUCUUAUGUACAGAUACAAAUGAAGAAAAAAGGCAUGUAGUAAAUUUGAUAAAGAAAUUAUUAAAUGUCAUAAUGGAUUAUUUUUAAGUUAUGGGGAAUUUCACUACUGUGAUUUUGUAUUUUUUUAACAAUAUUCUUUUACUGUUUAUGUUUUUAGUUAUACUUGUAUGUUCAAUGUUUGUUGUCUUGAUGUGCUUUCGUCCUGGUUUCGUGCUUACAAAAUGUUUAUGCAUGGAUAGAUGUUGUAACCAAUUAAUUAAGAAAAAGCUAAAUCAAAAUCAAACUAAAAACUUUAAAGAAUUCAGUUCCACCAUUAAAUAAAACAUAACAUUUGAAUUAUACUUCCUUGUUCAGAAAUGUUUAUUUCAAUAAAAUCCAAAUGUGAACACAAUAUGUAAAACAUCAGCAAUAUGUACCUUAUCUACAUUGUGGGUCAAAGAUUGCAUUAGUUGCAAUCAAACCCUAUUGUCACUGGCUUGAUAGACAUCUUUCCAGGCCUCAUCUCUUAAAGGUAGACUGCAAACAACAUAUUUCAGUGAGGUAAACAUUCUUCAAAACAUAUCUAUACCCAUGUCAAGCAAUUUAUGACUGAUAUAAACACAGAUAUUCAAGUAUAUUUGUCAAGGAAACUACUUUACUGAAAAUAACAGAAUUUGUGCAUGGUGUACAGAUUUAUCUGUUCAAUAAAUAGGUUCAACAACAAUUUUGGAAAAAGUAAGAGAGCUCUUAUUAAAAAAAAUUCCUUCCAUUGCUUAAAACAAUACAAUGUUUACAUUUUAAGUGAAAAAAAAUCUUUACUCUUUAAUCCUUAUUAGCUGUUCAAUAACUAUUUAUUUUAUUCUAUAAUUUAUAAAAACACAUAUAGAUGAAAUAUGAUUUGGAUUUAUGUUUGGUUUAGUAAGUGAUUCCCUUUUUACGAUUUGUAAUCUUCAACUUUUAGCCACUCACAGCCUUUUAUUCAGAAUUGCUAGUUUCAUUAGGCAUAAAUCACAACCUUCAGAGUUAACGUCACCUUUUGACUGCCACAAUCUUUUUAAGGAAAGUAGAUUGUAACCUUAGAAUAAUUGAAAUGAUUUUAAUAUGUGUUCAGGCCACACAAUACUGAUGCAUCAAGAUCAAACAUUGAAUAUAUUUGUAUAGAUAGUGAAAUUUUAUUCACAAACCCCAAUACAGUUAUAGUAAUGAUUCAAAAGUGACAGAUAAAUAGACGUGUUUUCAGAUAUCAAUAUCAAAGUACACUGGUCACUCUGGGGAAAACAUUGUUUAUCUUUUAUGUUAGUGCUAUUUUAAAGGAUCUCAAAGACCGUCUUAAAUAACUGUCUUCUUUCUUCAAGAUGUUGCAGACUUCAGAAUAUUUCUUAUGAUAAUUUAUAGAACCUUAGUCUUCCAAAGUUUACAGUUUGAAUUUUCUUUUGUUAAGAAGUUUGUUUAGCAAACAAGUCUGUAUUGGGGUUUGGCAAACUCUGAAGCAUAUGAUGAAACUUAUUUUGACUAUAAAAUACCUUUCUCAUGUGCUCCUCAGUCUUAUUCUUUCAAACAAAGGGAAGAAGUGUUCUAACUAAUCAUCUAGAAUCAUAUAACAUAGAUUGUAUUGUCUUUCACACAGUAUCAUAAGUUUUUAUCAAGAGUGUAUUGUCAUUCAUCCAUAAUCACAUAAUUUUAAUCAUGAUUUUAUUAUUUCACUAGCAGAUUCACAUCAUUUAAACAUGAUCAUGAUUUAUUGUUUCACAAGCAGAAUCACAUCAUCUAAACAUGAUCAUGAUUAUUGUUAUUCAUGCAGAAUCACAUUAUAUAAUCAUGAUUUUAUUGUGAACAAGGUGGACAGUGUAAUGCUUCAGAUAUCAAGUAUUUUUAAGGAAAUAAAAAGUUUUUAAAUAAUAAUGGUCGUACUGUUGCUGUUUUAAAUGCCUUUCAAAAUAAACCAUAUAGUGAGCUAACAUUGCCCUUGACUUGGAAAGUUCAAACCAGAAUACAAGCCGUCUUAUUUAGGGCAAAACAAUAACAUAACAACACAUAUGAUACCACAGCAAUAAAGAAAUUUGAUAGGAGUCAAUGUGUCAGUGAGUGCUCAACCCUCUCUUGACUCUUAAAAUCGUUUGGAAAUGGUAGAUUGGCAGGAAAAUAAAUGAUCAAAUAAAUGAAAGACAAAUACAAGAAAAAUAUUUUGUGACAUCAAAUGUAUGUGGAUUACACACAUAUGACAAAAGCAGUAAUCUUAAUUUAUAUAAAGAAAGCAUGAAAAUAAAGAUGGUUAAUAAAGGC